rnacentral:rRNA from 1 species
AGUCACUGACAUUAGAUACCCGUGUAGUCCAGGGUGUAAACGCUGCAGACUUGGUGUUGGAGGCCCUUUGGGGGCAUUCAGUGCCGGAGAGAAGUUGUUAAGUCUGCUACUUGGGGGAGUACGUCCGCAAGGAUGAAACUUAAAGGAAUUGGCGGGGGAGCACCGCAACGGGAGGAGCGUGCGGUUUAAUUGGAUUCAACACCGUAAACUCACCAGGGAAGACUGUUACAUGAAGGCCGAGAUGAAGACUCUGCUAGAUUUUCAG